UACGGGGGGGGCAAGCGUUGUUCGGAAUUACUGGGCGUAAAGGGCGCGUAGGCGGCCUGCUACGUCACACGUGAAAUCCCUCGGCUCAACCGGGGAACUGCGUGUGAUACUGGCGGGCUUGAAUUCGGGAGAGGGAUGUGGAAUUCCAGGUGUAGCGGUGAAAUGCGUAGAUAUCUGGAGGAACACCGGUGGCGAAGGCGGCAUCCUGGACCGAGAUUGACGCUGAGGCGCGAAAGCUAGGGUAGCAAACGGG
rnacentral:rRNA from 1 species